UCUCUCUGAAUCUGCGAACGGCUCCGCAAACCAGUUGUAAACUAUAGCAAGCAUCCCCUAGUGCAGGCCGCAAGGCUGGCGCUGGGGUUAUAAGGAUAACCCUGGUAAUUCUGAGGCUAAUACAAGAACGUAACCCCUGGUCGACGGGCAACUGGAGGCUGGGGAACGUGCGAUUCAUCGCAAAAAUCCACUGGGAAUAGGCGCACGUUCGGACCACCAUACCAAACGGUUUCACUGAUCCUCGGAGAGGUGUUUCUGGGUGGCUCUUGCUGUGUGCUUCUGACCUAUCAACUAGAUGGCAGCGUAACGGACAUGCUAUGGUUACAACGGGUACAGAGGAUAAGGGUUCGAUCCUGGAGAGUGGGCCUGAGAGAUU
rnacentral:rRNA from 1 species